UGUCGUUCUUGUCCUUCUUGGCAGCUUCAUUGUGCCAGCAUUCCGAGGAGUAGUGCCCAUAUUUGCUACAUGUGUAACAUUGAAUAUUUCGUUUGUCAAUUCCCUUUCUACCUCUUCCUCUCGUGUUUUUACCACCAUAGGUGCCUCCUUCUUGCUGUUCAUCAUUGAUUUCAUCAUCGUUUUGUUCUGUCAAUCUCUAAUUUCUUCCUCCGUUGCGACCUCCACCGCGCGAUCUCC
rnacentral:lncRNA from 1 species